rnacentral:rRNA from 1 species
UACGGAGGGAGCUAGCGUUGUUCGGAAUUACUGGGCGUAAAGCGCACGUAGGCGGCUUUGUAAGUUAGAGGUGAAAGCCUGGGGCUCAACCCCAGAAUUGCCUUUAAGACUGCAUCGCUUGAAUCCAGGAGAGGUGAGUGGAAUUCCGGGUGUAGCGGUGGAAUGCGUAGAGAUCCGGAAGAACACCGGUGGCGAAGGCGGUCUGCUGGGCAGUUGCUGGACACUGAGGCGCGACAGCGUGGGGAGCAAACAGG